GCAAAGUUGGCAGAAUUUAUGUGAAUAACUUAGGAUUAUUUUAUAAGAUUAUUUUAAUCUUACUUUGUA
rnacentral:tRNA from 1 species